rnacentral:rRNA from 1 species
GAUGAACGCUGGCGGCGUGCUUAACACAUGCAAGUCGAACGAGAAGUGGAGACGGAAACCUUCGGGCGGAAGACUUUAUUUCGAGUGGCGGACGGGUGAGUAACGCGUGGGUAACCUGCCUCAUACAGGGGGAUAACAGUUGGAAACGACUGUUAAUACCGCAUAAGACCACAGCACCGCAUGGUGCGGGGGUAAAAACUCCGGUGGUAUGAGAUGGACCCGCGUUCGAUUAGCCAGUUGGCGGGGUAACGGCCCACCAAAGCGACGAUCGAUAGCCGAUCUGAGAGGAUGACCGGCCACAUUGGGACUGAGACACGGCCCAAACUCCUACGGGAAGCAGCAGUGGGGAAUAUUGCACAAUGGGGGAAACCCUGACGCAGCGACGCCGCGUGAGUGAAGAAGUAUUUCGGUAUGUAAAGCUCUAUCAGCAGGGAAGAAAAUGACGGUACCUGAGUAAGAAGCCCCGGCUAACUACGUG